AUUGAACGCUGGCGGCAUGCUUUACACAUGCAAGUCGAACGGCAGCACGGGUGCUUGCACCUGGUGGCGAGUGGCGAACGGGUGAGUAAUGCAUCGGAACGUGCCCAUGAGUGGGGGAUAGCCCGGCGAAAGCCGGAUUAAUACCGCAUACGCCCUUAGGGGGAAAGCGGGGGAUCUUCGGACCUCGCGCUAUUGGAGCGGCCGAUGUCGGAUUAGCUAGUAGGUGAGGUAAAGGCUCACCUAGGCGACGAUCCGUAGCUGGUCUGAGAGGAUGAUCAGCCACACUGGGACUGAGACACGGCCCAGACUCCUACGGGAGGCAGCAGUGGGGAAUUUUGGACAAUGGGCGCAAGCCUGAUCCAGCCAUGCCGCGUGAGUGAAGAAGGGCCUCGGUUGUAAGACGUCUUUC
rnacentral:rRNA from 1 species